CCCAUUUCUCCCUAUUCCUCUACUCUUCUCCCUCUCCCUUAACUCAUGCUCUGUGUCUCAAAUAAAUAAAUAAAAUCUUAAAAAAAAAACCCACCAAAACCAAAAAAACCUGCCCCUUACCAAUCUUCAGUGUGCCCUGUAUCUUUCUUCUAUCCCUCCCACCUACAGAGGUUUCAAGUUCAUCUCCUACUCAGGGAGGUUUCAAGUUCACCCAGGGGAACUCCGAGGUUUCCAACCAACAUACCCACACGACUGUGAAAUGGCACCAGGGAGCACUUUCAGCGACAGGCAGAAGUGUGUGGAUGUGUUGGACCAAACCUGAAACAUUUGUUCCUUUCAACCUGUCAUCCUUCAUUAAGUCAGCCGGCAGCUAAGGCAUCUGAAAGGACGCCGCCAGGAUGCCACCCAAGAAAGCCAAUAUUGUGUGCAAGUUAACAUUAUAAAGCCCAAGCCUUCACAUUUGGUGAUUUUGUGAAAUGGGAUUCUCCACUUCAAAUAGACUUCCUUUUCACUGAACUUACCAAGUUGCAUUCAGGUCAGUUCAUCAGUCCUUAAACAUCUGGUUUUUCAGAAGCAGUGACCAAUACAAUGAAAUCCCUUCCCUCUGUUCUAUCCUCCUUAAAAAGUUGUUUUGACUCAAAGGAGAAAAGUUUUCUUUUCUGCCCCUCUGCUCUGUCCCCAAAUACACAGUUUUUCAGAGCUCCAGAGUUUCUCUGAAGCUACACAAAAGAUUUGGCAUCU
rnacentral:lncRNA from 1 species